AAUUAUAGGAAUCCUCUUUCUUUGUAGACAUAUAAACAUUUUGAUCUUAAUGAGAAUCUUAAAUUUUCUCUUUCUUAUUUACUUUUUUGGGCUUCUCUUGUGUCUCUCAUUUGACCUUAAAAUUUUUUGUUUAGGUUUGGUUUAUUCCUCAAGAAUGCUUGGAAAUCUUCUAUCUUAUUGAAUGCCCAUUUUUCCCCAUGAAAGAGUAUACUUAGUUAUGUUGGAUAUAUGAUUCUGGGUUAUAAACCCAAAUCUUUUGCCUUCCUUAAUAAUAUAUUCCAUAAAUUCAACAUUUUAAGUGAAUUAAUAUAUAUGUUAAAAAACAUACCAUCACUUUGGUACAAAUCUGACCAAUAGGCCUAUAUAGUCAUUACCUGAACAACCUAGUGUCAAAAAAUUCUUGGUUUUAGGAAAAAUUGUUUAUAGGAGUUGGGGUGGGGGAAACUCCAGUCCUUUGAAAGUUAAAGUUAAGAAUCACAAAUUGAAAAAAAUAAUAGCAAAUGAUAUAUCUCCAUAAUAAUUUGUGUGAACUUUUUCAUAUUUUCCAGCGUAUACUAUGAAACAUAUUAAAUUAUGAUGACAGUAACUGCUCUUAGUUUUACUCUUAUCUUAAAAGACACACCGGGAAUAUCUAUCUGUAGCUGAAAUUUGGCUCUCUAUCAUAAAGAUAGUGAUGAUGGUCAAACAUUGGAGGAUAAAAGAUAGCAGAGUGAACAGGAUCAAAUUGGUUUGAAAUUAGGAUCUGAACACAAAGAUAUGGGUAUGUGAAGAAGGGAAACAAUUUUAGACCUGGGAAAUUAUAUAAGUUAUGGAGGAGGGAAAGAAGGAAAUAGCCUUGGAAGAGUUAGUACCUAAUUUAUUUUAGUUAGUUUAGAGUAUUAUAGGUUAUAUGUGUGAAAGAAGGCUAAGGAGUUAAAUUAGAGCCACAUUGUGGAGGAUUAUGGAUGUUAGACUAAAAGUUUGUGCUUCAUUUGAUAGGCAUUGAGGAAUCCCUGGAAAAAUGGACUAAAAUGUCAAAAGUAUAGCUUGGUUAAAAUAUACAGAAUGGCUUCUAACUAUGAGAGAAUGGAAUUAGAAGCAACAGUUUGGAGACUGACAGUACUGGGGAAAGACAAAGGGAGAGAAAAUAAGAACUUAAAAUUAGUGUGCUUGGUAAUGGUAGUGAAGACAAGAGAAUGGAUAUGAGAUGCAUUAUGGUGGCAGAAUAAAUGAAAUUUGGCAUUAUGAUUGAAUUUGGGGACAUGAGAGCAAGGUCAUGGGUAACUAAAGUAUUGGGCAUAUUCAAGGAGAAAUGUCUAGCUCAUAAUUUAAAAAAAUGGGAGAGUGAUUGCAAAUAUAGUACUUAUUUUUCUUCUCUUUUUUCCAGUCUAUAUAAACCUUCCUCUCACAUAUGGCCAAAAGAAAAUACUAAAUUUGAGAUAGAGGGGCAUUUUAACCUCUUUAUAGCACUGAAAUAGGGCCUAAACUGAAAAGCUAUUUAAGGAUACUGGACCCAUGCUAGAGAUGAAUAACUCCAAAUUUCCAAAAAUUUGGGAACAGGCAAAAGUGUAAUAGGGAGAAGACAUUUGCAUAAGACUGUGUAAUACAAAUGUUAGAGUGAUUGGCAGGAGCAUGUGUCAGAGAGUCACAUGGGAGCCUAAGGGUCAAGAUCUGGGCAAAGACUCUAAGGUCCCAACAGUCUUGGCACUUCUCUCCUGAAGGACCUUGGGUUGGAGGUUUGAAAACAGGUUUCUGGACUUUUGUGAUACCAGCUGCAGAGACGAAUCUUUUGAACUGGCUGCUGGCAGCUAGAACAGAGGAUUGAAGACUCACUUCUCCACUGGACCUGUUUUGGACAUUUUUCAUCUGAAGAUCCUGGCCCACUUGAUUGGACUCCACUUGUCAUCGCCUUCAGCAUUGAAACUGGGAUCCUUUUCUACUAACGUCUAAGGAGACCUCAGCAUGAGCUAUAUUCUGAAAUUCCCAGAGAAAGCUCAGGAUAGAGGCAAAGAUACUCCUAUACUUUGGUGCUGUUCUGGAUUGCAACCUCCUUGCCUCAAUUAAAGAUCCUUCUUGCUAUAUUGUUCUCUCUAUUUCAAGGUUGAUAGCUAUUUGUGACCUGCCAUCUUGGGCAAGCCAAGCCUCCAGAAAUGAACUCCAGGCUAUAUCUACCCUGACUACAGAUCCCCAAGCAAGAAUUUCUCAGCUACCAGAAAAGUCGUCUUCAAACCUCUGAAAGGAAUGCCAAUUGGCACUGGAAUGAUAAUUCUCCCUCUCUUGCUGCCUCAUUCAUUAUACAUAUAGUCUGCAGCAGGGAUCUUAAUAACGGAACAUUUGUAUAGCCGGAGAGUAUGAUAGAAUCAGCCUGAGAAGUGAAGGCUUUGUCCUUAAACUUAUCCUUUGUACCUAGCCAAGGAUCCAGGGAUUUUAAUUAUAGGAUUGUUGAAAAGCAGCGCGCUAUAGUGGAAAGAAAAAAAACUAGAAGACCUUGUUUUAAUCUCAGCUGCACCACUGAUGACUUCUAUGACCCUGACCUUGGGAAGUCACUUUAACUCUCUGGCCCUUAAUUUCUCUAUUGACGAAAUGAGAGGGUUGGAAAUAAUGGCUAUUUACUCUGAAUCAUUUGAACCAAGGAACUCAUCUGAACUUUGCCACUUGCCAGUUUUGGUUUUAGACAAAUCAUUUCAUCCAAUAGUGAUAAAAAAUACCUGUCUUGCUUACUUCAAAGAGUGACUAAGACACAUGAGAUAAUGUCUGUGAAUGUGCUUUGUAAUAUGUACAGUAUUAUAAAGGUAGAAGAUAUACGAUUACAAUUUGCUGUUGGAGAAAGAGAAAAACAAAGGGAAUAAAUAAAUCCACUCCAGCAUUCAAAAAACAGUAGACUAUGAAGUGAUUCUAUAUACAAGACAAGUCAGAUACCAUGUUUAUUUUCGUGGUGCUCUUAAGGGAAGUAUGCCUGAUCCUGUAUUAAGCAAGAGAUUAGAGUGAUAUUUAAGAUACAUAUGUAUCCUUAACAAGUAUAAAGUAGCCCAUUCAGAUUUUAGGGUAAGUAAAAAGGACCCACUUAAUCUUUCUGUUUGGCUACUGUACCAUUGAUCCUUUAAAAGGAUUGGGUUGAAAUUGGUAAAUGGCAACUGCUUAGACCUUUACACUGUACAAGAUUUCUGGAUGCAUUUAUUAUUGACUUUCCUCUCCUCUGCUCUGAUCAAUGAAGGGGCAUCCACAAGGUAGACACCAUCCAGCGUCAACUUUAUAUCAGAAUUUUAAUGAAAACUUUAGAGCUGUCCUACCUAUACUGCCCUUAUCAAAUAAUAGUUUAUGCCACCUUAAUCCGUGUGAUUUAGUCACCUUUUCCCAGGGGAAAAUGCAUUUCCCUUGCUUUCUUUCCUCACACUCUCAUCCUCAAGGUUAGCCCUGUUCUCCCUAGUUCCUAUUACCUUUAGUGCCAUCUUCUGAAACCUCUACUCUAUUGUUAACACAAUUCAUCCUGGAUUUCAUCCUCUUUUCAGGUGCUGAUGGAAACCUGACAUCCUCCUCAUCCCAUACCAUCUACCGAAGUAGACUUCUUUUCCCCCCUCUGCCCCAUCCAUGCUGAAUCCCAACACAUUGAACUAGGUGGAGGAAUCAUAUGUAUUAUUCUCACUAUCAUUUCCAGAUACUCUGUCAUCAUCAUUUAAAAACCUCUUCUUUGAAUUUCACUCCAAAGGUCCCCAUUAUUCUCUAAAUCUUUGUUGCUGUCUUCUAUUGACCUUUAGGUCACUUUUUCUCCCUUUAAAAACCUGAAGUUUAAUAAAGUUUUAAGAAGUCCAUUGGUUUUAAAAAUACGAGUAUUUGCCUUUUUCCCAACAAAGACUAUUCCUCUAUGACAAGAAAAACAGGUAAAUGAAAUAACUGGCAUAGUUGACCUAUCUGAAUCUCUAGUCCCCAUUACUAGCAGAAGGGAAGUAUUACAAAUAAACAUUUCCCAACAAAUAUCCCAAUAGAAUCCGACUUCUUAUGAAGAGUAUUCCAACAAGAAGGAAGGAAACAAGCAUUUAUUAAAUGCCUACUAUGUGUCAGGCAUUAGGCUAAGCACUUUUCAAAGAUUUCAUUUUAUUCUCACAACAACCCUUGAGAUAGGUGCUAUUAUUAUCUCCAUUUUAUAGUUGGGCAAAGUGAAAUGAACAUUAUCUAAGUGACUUGCCCAGGGUCACAAAGCUAGUGAAUUGUCUGAAUCUAGAUUCUUGAACUUUGAAAGCAAGUUACUAAAAUUAAUUAUUGCUUUAGAUCAAUUUUGUUCUGCACUGAUUUUAUGUUGUAGGCAUUGUAUUCUUUUUGGGUUCUUUCUUCUU